UAUUUUUUUUAUCAAAGAAUUAUGGAAUUGCUCGUUUAUCGCCAUAAGGGACUUGUACCUCGGAUGCAAGUGUAAAGAAACAUUGACCCUCGUGGAAUUUGUAUAGAAUUCCCAUUAAAUGGUGGACAUUAGCCGAGAAUGCUUCGUUGCCCAUUCGUAGAUGGGCCGAUAAUGGAGGCAAAGACUAAAUGGGAGGUCGAAUCUUCUUGUGCACUAUACGAUCGAUCGAUACGAGAUAAGAGAUCGCGAUCUUGGUCUUCGAUAUCGACACUGCACGAAAUCGAUGUUUGAUAGCCGAUUCGCCCUAAGGGAAUCGGUAUGCUUGAUAAGAAAAAAAAAAUGAGAAAUUGCACGGGUCGAUAUACGAGUAACGAGAUAAAAAAAUAAACGACAUAAUUCGAUCCGUUCGAAAAGCACGAGUAAAAGGAACAGCAGAGAAGCGGAUGGCGGGAAUUUUUAAAUUGGAUUAAUACAAAAUUAUAUGCUGGGGAUGAUAUUUCGUAUUUGGAAUUAUGGAAAUCAUACCAACUUUAGGUACAUGUACGAGGGCUGAACCGAGUCGAAUCUGAAAUUCGAUAAUGCCUCACUCAGCAGGGACGCGCAAUUCGCCCGGAAGCUGCGAAUUAUGCCGCGAGUUCAGAUUAAAGAACUUUGGAUUACAUAUAACCGUGUAUUACGAUCAAAGACCUAUGCGCAGGUGGUGCAGUCUCUUUAGCCCGGUAUAUUUCUCUUGGAUACAAAUCGCCAAGCAUGGAGCUCUCAUUGAUUAUUAUAUGUGGAAU